GCGUUAGCUUCUGGCCAUCAGCAGUAGUCCGAAUCACUUCACCGGCUGUGUGUUUCAAAUACUCGCUGCCUUGAUGACCCAGCUGCACACGGACCACAGAGAGAUGAGCUGAGGCUUUUCAGGUCAGGUAGAAUCUUAACAUAAUGUCAUCUCUAUUGAUCUAGUUCGUUUGCUUGCUUCCAUGGCUGCAGAAGGCUGGACU